CAUGGUUACUUGUGCGCGCGGGACACGUACGUCAUGCUUGUUUAGUUAGUAUGCCUAUGUUUACAAGAUUAUACGGUCGACAAAGAUAUCCUUACUUCGUAUAGCUGUCCGCUAAUUUUCUAUCGCAAUCGAUGCUUCGCCUUUCGGGCGAAACUUCGUCUUUUUCUUUCUUUCUUUUUUUGAUCGCGCUAGGGAAGGCGUGCGCGAAAACAUCGUUUCCCUUCUUUCUCACGUCUUUCUCUCUCCCAACCCCCUGCCCACCCCUUCUCUAUGGGAGCAGCAAGUGGCAGGGCAACACGGCCGGUCAGGACGCACGCGCUCGCUCUCUGCGAGCGCGUCCAGACUGGCCAUGGUUGUUAUUCACUCGCUUUGCGACUGCGUCGGUUCUACCAACGCCUCCGCCUAUUAUCCGCCUCCUCUCCUCGUCCUGUCUACCAUUUUCUCUGCAUCCCUCUAGACUUGCACGUUAGUAGAACGGUGACCUCUGCAGUUUCAGCAAUGCUUCUGAGUGGGGUCACGGACAAUUACAGCUAUCAAGAGGGUAACGUCGCGAUGCCCAGGCAGCUCCAAAGAGCAAAUGUGUACAUGCGACAUGAUGAAAAGAUCCCAACGAGUUCGCAUGUGUCGCCUUUUCUCUCUGCCACGUACGCUCCUUCCAUGUAUAUACACCCUCUGAACCACUCCCCGACGCGGCCUGCAAGACAGCAGCAGCAGCAGAAAAGUCGAAGGAACAGGCAAAAAAAGCUUGCAGAUCCCGCGCACUGUGUGAAUCGACUGGAGCCGCCGUAUCUCGCCGUUCAAGAUAUGCGUACUCGAAGAAAAAGAAAGAGGCUUUAUAUGAGAACGGAUCAAGCGUUCGAGAGUUGGGACAGGGAAAUGAAACACUGGAACGACACUGCUUAAAUUGAAGCACAGUGUGCGAAUGACCUGCUACGCUUGGAACUGUUAUCACCAUUCGGGAAGAAAUCAGAUGAAAAAACAAAACUGUAAAUGCCUGUAUGAUAUACGUCUGGUGCAAUGUAAGAAUGGAUUGUGCGUGGCGCUUCACCGCAUGUGGACUAGAGUAGAUCUAGGAACAUCAGACAAGAAGCCACGUAUGGGAAACCCUGCGGAUAGCCCACAUGUAAGUUGUUCCUCAAUUUUUCUGUUGUUGCAUUUUCGUAGUUUACGUGUAAUACUUUGUCACCGCGGUCUCGACGUUAUGUAUACCUAUACAUUUGUCUCGUUGCAAUCUGCGUGCUAUUUUGUUUGUGCAACUGUGUGUUGUAUUCAUUUAUCGCGCUGCCUGGAUGUUUUUUUUUUUUCAAUGAUAUUCUGAGCCAAGUCAGUAAAUCUAUCCUUCCUGUCCUCAUGUUUCCUUGGGCGACUCUAAAGCGUAUCUCAGAGGAAUAUUUAGCUUCAGAUUCCCGCAUGGAACAGAUGGUGAGUGACAUGCUGUGUUUUCUUUUUAGAGAAACUAUGUAUUCGUGUUUAAUUCUUGGUUGAUUUUCAUAUUGUCAUUCAUACAAUACCGCAGCCAUAUGCGGUAUUUAUAAAACGAGAGCGAUCAUAUUUCUUAUCCUGACCAUUAUUUGUUACAGACCAUGAUAACCACGUAUUUGGAUGUCUGGUUUAACUCUACAUGCGCUGGUUCGUGCAGGUGAACUUUUUUUCCAGAUACGGAGGAACGGACAUCGGUCAUGCCGUACGCACUCUUCUGCAGGGCAUAAUGAAGCUGCACUGCAGUUCAGCUGGAAAGGGUCGCAGGGGAGGAAGCACACCUUCGUGAAGUUCACGGCCAUCACGAAUCUCAUUCUAACAUCUGUGAGGAGCACCUUCCCAGGCUCUUCACUGGCAUCAGUGGCUGGAGUCACGAAACGCUGGUUAGUCGGAGCAGCUGACAGGGAUGGAGGCCGGAACGAGAGAAGGCACCGUGACCCCGCUUCAAGCCCACCAUGAACUCGCGUUUGAAACUUUUGUGAACUUGUGGGUGUAUAUAUCCCAGACAAAUACAAGAAAUAAAGAC